GGUUGUGAAAGCCCCGGGCUCAACCUGGGAACGGCAUCCGGAACUGUCAAGCUAGAGUGCAGGAGAGGAAGGUAGAAUUCCCGGUGUAGCGGUGAAAUGCGUAGAGAUCGGGAGGAAUACCAGUGGCGAAGGCGGCCUUCUGGACUGACACUGACACUGAGGUGCGAAAGCGUGGGUAGCAAACAGGAUUAGAUACCCUGGUAGUCCACGCCGUAAACGAUGUCGACCAGCCGUUGGGUGCCUAGCGCACUUUGUGGCGAAGUUAACGCGAUAAGUCGACCGCCUGGGGGAGUACGGCCGCAAGGUUAAAACUCAAAUGAAUUGACGGGGGCCCGCACAAGCGGUGGAGCAUGUGGUUUAAUUCGAUGCAACGCGAAGAACCUUACCUACUCUUGACAUCCUGCGAACUUGUGAGAGAUCACUUGGUGCCUUCGGGAACGCAGAGACAGGUGCUGCAUGGCUGUCGUCAGCUCGUGUUGUGAAAUGUUGGGUUAAGUCCCCGUAACGAGCGCAACCCCUUGUCCUUAUUUUGCCAGCGGGUAAUGCCGGGAACUCUAAGGAGACUGCCGGUGACAACCGGAGGGAAGGUGGGGGACGACGUCAAGUCAUCAUGGCCCCUUACGAGUAGGGCUACACACGUGCUACAAUGGCCGGGUACAAAGGGUUGCGAGCUCG
rnacentral:rRNA from 1 species